rnacentral:rRNA from 1 species
AUUGAACGCUGGCGGCAUGCUUUACACAUGCAAGUCGAACGAGUGGCGGACGGGUGAGUAACGCAUCGGAAAGUGCCGGGUGGUGGGGGAUAACUAUUCGAAACGGCAGCUAAUACCGCAUACUAUCAGAUCUGCCCAGGUCGGAUUAGCUGGUGGGCGGGGUAAAGGCCCACCAAGGCGACGAUCCCUAGCGGGUCUGAGAGGAUGAUCGGCCACACUGGGACUGAGACACGGCCCAGACUCCUACGGGAGGCAGCAGUGGGGAAUAUUGGACAAUGGGCGCAAGCCUGAUGCAGCCAUGCCGCGUGUGUGAAGAAGGCCUUCGGGUUGUAAAGCACUUUCGUCAGGGAAGCGUUACCCGAAGAAGAAGCACCGGCUAACUACGUGCCAGCAGCCGCGGUAAUAC